UUCUCGGUGCUUUGACGUUUUUGACAAUUAAUAUGAUAGACGUCACAUUUUUCCCAAAUUACUGGCAACACUUUAUAAUUUUUUUCAUCGUUGAUUGUUUUGAUGUGGAUUUGAUCGAUCAACAUCGGUGGUGGGCAAUCUCAGCGGCCGUAACAAUCUCACAUCUUGCCGGAUGUAGCGGAAUUCCGGUCCCGUAUUCGGUAGAAGAAUCAGAUGAUGCUCAAGACUCCUACGAAAGCAACUACAUUACCCAGUUCGGAAGAAUGCGUCGCCAAAAGUUCAAAAGCAAGCGGAACCAGGAGCGGAACGCUCAAGGAAACCACAACCACACCGAAAAAGCAAUUUAGCAGAUCCGCGAACAAAUAAACUGGUUUCCGAGUCUGUCAAUGUCGAUUCUGGGAGCUUCGAAGCACACGGCAGGCGGCAAAAGGAAGUUACACUUGCCCCAUCUGAUUUAUGGUUUAUUCGUCGAAGCCUAUUCCCGCAAAGCAUGGCGCGCUGGAUAACUAACAUUCCUGAGGAAGAAUCGAAGGAGGAGAAAUCGAUGAGUUCAAAAACGUGGAGUCGAAAAUAUCCGACAAAGAAAAGAACAUUAUGUUUUCAGUGUGAUGAGGCAAAAGCGAACGUUGGUCCAGUCACUGAAGAAGAAAUCGACAAGAAAGUGGUAGUGGAUAUCAAUCGGGUGACUCGAAUAGUGAGAUUCGAGCGGAAAUUAAAGAUAAAUCUUCCGAUAGGAGAUUUCUAGUGAGAAUAAAAAAAAACGAGAAAUGAAAUUUAUUUUAUUCAAAAAAUUCAACUUUUUUUAUUUGAUUUCAUAAUGAUACGUAUACAACUUUUCAAGAUUUUACCUAACUAAUCAUUUUCGGUCACGUAACUUUCGUGGAGAUGAUCCGCCAGGAAGUAGUCGGUGGUAAGGUCCCGUGAAGUUUCCCUCAGUAAAAGUUCCGCACAAAAGAGAUUCUUCGCCACCACAGACAGCAGACACCGAUGACGUCAGCUUCGGUUACUGGUUCGGAAAAUAUGGGCUAACAUCACUGACACGUUAUCCUCCUAGAGGAAGUCAACAGUUGCUGCUUGCUGUUGCUUUCGCAGAGUCCAGAAGGGAUGAAAGCAACACCAGGGUUGCAUUAAUCGAGGCACCAAUGGAAGAAGUGUUUCCGGGAUUACUUCUCCAGUUUCCUCCAGAGGAUGAUGAAGUGGAAGUAGUUCGAUGGCGAUGAUCGGAUGGACGUAAAGCUUCUUAGCUGCAUUGCUUUCCUCGGAUGGGACGGGCGCUUUCAUUGAUUAGUGAAUUCUGCCACCGGUGGCCGUGGUUUGACUUCGGCCGUCUUGGUGCAGGACGACCUAUCCGAUGGCUGUUUUAUAGCUUAUGACGUGCUCGCAGUUUUUAUUAUUUACAUCGUCUACCUCGGUAGACUGCUGCGCUUCCGAGGCACGAUUGUCCUUCGUUUUCAGCACUCCUUCUAUCACCAUUUCCAAAUAGGUUACACAACGAUAAUUGUUUCUGUCAGGCUUUAUCCGAUUCUGCUGUUUUACCUGAAUCUUCGUUCCGCCCAAGUCGUUGCGCUGGCUCAUACAGCGGCUGAUCAGGGUCUUUCAGGAAGAUCUUUCUGAUAACUAUUUCGCCGGAGCCUAGCCCGGAGCUGAGGGAGGGUCUGGCAAUUGACAUCAUUCAUUCCGGCUUAGGUGGCGAGGGAGUAGCACUAUGUAGCACCAGCACUAAAGACUAAUCGUAGCACCUUCAACUCAUCCUUUUUCGCCAUUCGGUCCAUGGUAAUGUUGGACAGGAUUUCGGCGGUUCCAGGCUCCGGAGAAAAUGUACCUGGUCCUGCGCUGCUGCUCGUACCCGGUAGCUGCUGCCUAUUCCGUUCAGCACUGCGACGAUAAACAUUGUCUGAAAAUGUAAAUAUAAACAUCGGCAGACCAGUGACGCCAGUAAAAUA